rnacentral:sRNA from 1 species
AGAAGAACAAGAAGAAGAAGAAGAGUUGGAACUAGA